UAUUUCUACUAGGGGAGCCUAAUAUAUAAGUGCUGAGAAAGAGAUUAAUUACUCUUGACCCUUUGAACCUGAUCUAGUCAACUCUAGCGUAGGGAAGUAGUGGAUAAAUGAA
rnacentral:ncRNA from 2 species